rnacentral:pre_miRNA from 1 species
UCCGGUUGCCUUCUCCACUAGAGAGGGCGGCCAGAUCUGGUCGCGUUCUCCAGUGGAGAGGGCGGCCAGA